ACAAAUCUGUAGAACAAAGGCUAAGCCUCAGCAGAUCGUAGCAACAAGGCUACUCUACUGCUUACAGCACCCCGUUCUAUUCAAGUCGCCUGCAAAGGAUA
rnacentral:rRNA from 1 species